CAAAUUCGGUAAUCUGAGUGGUUAAAAUUAUCCGACGGCUGAAAACAUUAUGUGGGCAGCUAUAUAAACGUCCUUGAACCCUAAAAUCAGCCAUCAAUCGUCUCGCUCGCAAACAUGUUGUCGAAUGUUUUCUCUGUCACAAAGGCCAUGCCCUGGAUUGCAAUUUCGAGUGCCUUUACUAGAACCUUAACUUUUGGAUCUACAGCCUACUUUUUUUACCGUACGGUCCCGUUGUUUGGUGAAGUCAUGAAAUCCCAAAAGGCUGCAAACGAGGCCUUCCAUCAGUGCUGGUCCAGUUCUGGAUCCAAGUAACACCCUUCUGUUCUAAAUGGGUACAAUGGUAAUGUAAUGUAAUGUGAUGUGAUGUGAUGUUGGAGGAUGACUAUUUUGCUUGAAUAAUUUUAAGACCUUGUAGUGGUAUAUGUAUCUUUUGCUGACUUUAGCGGUCUUAUGGCUUAUUUGAUCGUUGCCGCAAGUCUUAUUUUGAGACUCAUUUAGGAUUACUAGCCACUCCAUGUCUAAUUUUAAGACCUCGUAAUUGGGUUAUAUACUACUGUCCAUGUUUAGUCCCAA